rnacentral:rRNA from 1 species
UACGAAGGGUGCUAGCGUUGCUCGGAAUCACUGGGCGUAAAGGGUGCGUAGGCGGGGCUUUAAGUCAGGGGUGAAAUCCUGGAGCUCAACUCCAGAACUGCCUUUGAUACUGAAGAUCUUGAGUUCGGGAGAGGUGAGUGGAACUGCGAGUGUAGAGGUGAAAUUCGUAGAUAUUCGCAAGAACACCAGUGGCGAAGGCGGCUCACUGGCCCGAUACUGACGCUGAGGCACGAAAGCGUGGGGAGCAAACAGG